CCUACGGGAGGCAGCAGUGAGGAAUAUUGGUCAAUGGGCGCGAGCCUGAACCAGCCAAGUAGCGUGAAGGAUGACUGCCCUACGGGUUGUAAACUUCUUUUAUCAAGGAACAAAGUGAGGCACGUGUGCCUUUUUGUCUGUACUUUAUGAAUAAGGCUCGGCUUACUCCGUGCCAGCAGCCGCGGUAAUACGGAGGAUCCGAACGUUAUCCGGAUUUGUUGGGUUUAAAGGGAGCGUAGAUGGGUUGUUAAGUCAGGUGUGAAAGUUUGCGGCUCAACCGUAAAAUUGCAAUUGAUACUGGCAGCCUUGAGUACAGUUGAGGUAGGCGGAAUUCGUGGUGUAGCGGUGAAAUGCUUAGAUAUCACGAAGAACUCCGAUUGCGAAGGCAGCUUACUAAACUGCCACUGACAUUGAUGCUCGAAAGUGUGGGUAUCAAACAGGAUUAGAUACCCCAGUAGUC
rnacentral:rRNA from 1 species